AACACGUGGGGAACCUGCCCCAUAGUCUGGGAUACCACUUGGAAACAGGUGCUAAUACCGGAUAAGAAAGCGGAUCGCAUGAUCAGCUUUUAAAAGGCGGCGUAAGCUGUCGCUAUGGGAUGGCCCCGCGGUGCAUUAGCUAGUUGGUAAGGUAAAGGCUUACCAAGGCGAUGAUGCAUAGCCGAGUUGAGAGACUGAUCGGCCACAUUGGUACUGAGACACGGCCCAAACUCCUACGGGAGGCAGCAGAC
rnacentral:rRNA from 1 species